UUGAAACUACUAAUUGUCUUCAGUUUUUGAAGUUUCAGUGAUUUUUAUUUUUCUUCAAGUUCAGAAUUAGCGCUCUUUAGUCCAAGGUUAAUGUAUUUUUAAGCAGUGGAAAGGAUGCAGCAAAAAAGCCACAAACUGGUUUGUCCUCAAAGUCUUUGUUGAAUACAGAACAAAUACAUGUAUGAAUACAUACAAAAUGAGGUCAACCUCAUUAACACAAAGACAACCAUAGUUUACAUUUUCAUUUCACCAUCAGAAAUUAAUUUGAAAUAAUAUUUUAGUUCUCAUCAAAUUAUAGAGAUAUUUUAAAAGAGUGGAAAAUGUUGUCACUCAGCAUAUACAGCAUGUUAGCAUUAAAUGUGCUUUUUUUUUUUCCAAAAUACCUUUCUUAAGAAGUGGGGAAUCCAUGGUAGAUUGUAGAAUUAAUCCAAAGGAAAAUUUAAAAUCAAGCAUUUACCCCACAACAGUUAUUUUCAGAGAAAUGAGAAAUAAAAGGCUGUUUACGAACAGCUUUUUUUUCACCCAAAAUGUUGGGAAAAUGUGAUGUGAACAAAGCAACUUUUUGCUUUGUUAUGCAAAGGUUUUGAGUAUGUCAUUUUAAGAGAUGCCGGCUUUGAUGGCAGAAAUUCCUACCCCUCCCAUUACUUAUUCCCAUUCCUGCAUCAGAGCUCACUGUUUCAUUACUAGCAACCAUUAGUGCAAUCCCACAAGGAGUUUUGUCAGCCCAGAUUCCAGAAGCUCGUAGGGAGCUGUGCUGCAAGAGUAUGAAAUUCUAAAACUGUCUUUAUCCUUGAAAUUCACAUCUCAUGACACCAGGAAGACUGCAGGUGCAAUACAUAACAAGUACGAUUUUUGAACAACAGUUUUUUCAGGAUGUGUCCUGUGUCUUGUUUCUUUUGCAAAGGCAUAACCUUCAAAAUGUCUAUUAUCAUUCUUCAGGCUUCUCUUUGUCAUCAAAAUCAAAUGCACUUGAUGCCCCCAGGUUAUGUCUUUUGACAUAAGAUUGAUUUCUUUUUUAUGCUUUUGAAGAAGAAAUGUUUGCCUUCUGUAUUUUAAAAUCUUUUCUUGUUUUUUAAAGCAUUUUAGUUCUACCUUUCUUUAAAAAUGGGUAUUCCAGAAAGGGAGGAAGACUGCUUUUCACCAUAUUGUACAGCUGGUCUGUGUACCUUAAGCAUACAAUUUACACAGUAUUUUAAGAUCUCCAAAUUUAAGUAUGACCUCUGUGCUGUGACUUACAUUUUUUGGAUAGCAGACUUAGCUAUUCUGGAUAUAUUCUAGCUAUUCUUACCGUCUGGCAACGGUAAUAAUUGUUCUGAGUGCUCAUCUGUGUUCUCAGCUAUACAUAAAGGGCUGUGUGGCUGGAAAAAAUCCCCUGUGCUUGAGCUAUCAGUAAUUGCAUCUUGAGCCUGGGUAGGAGUACUACUUGGAAACAACAUGUUCUGCAAGUAUCCCUUACAACAGCCAGGACACCCGCUGCUGUAGGUGUGACAAUUCUCAGCACUGGUGUUAACUGUUUUCAUAUUGUGUUAUUAUGUGAUAGCAUAUGAAUGACUCUUCAACAACACUGAUGAAAAACUUACAUUGUUGUCCUUUGAUUAAAAUAAAGCCCUGACUGCAAUUGUGUUUGUUCCAAAUAGUAUUUUAGGAAAAGAAAAUACGACAGUCCUCCAUUAAUCAGGCAUCAAAGUUCAUUACCAGUUCGGAGCAAUAGCUGUAAAUGUAGCUCCAGCAUUCAUCGUAGAGUUAAUUACAGUUGUAAGAGUUGUUCUUUGAAGUCUGACACUUGCUGUGGUGGUGCCCAAAGCACUGCUGCUUAAAGUUACUCUUCUGCAUUGGCCCUUGUCACAGGAUCUCUAGCUCCCUGAAGAAGGAGACUUUGUGUCAGUUACUUUUUUGGUUGUACUGUCAAGUGAGAUUUGGAGGUAAUUAUGAAUGGAAUGGAAAUGAUCCCCAUUGCUGUACGUCUCUGAUGGCUCAGCUAUAACAAAAGUUGUCAAUGUGCCAGGCAUGAGUUGAAGAACUCACUUGGAUCUUGUGCAGUCUGGGAGCUCAGUUCCCAUCAUCUGUUGGCCAAAUAUGUUAGGAUUUUAGUGGAACUUAAAUGCCCUCUACUACAUAGAAAUUCACUGGAUCUUGCACUUAAUUCCUGCAGAUUGGCCUCAAACCACUGUCUUGAACAACAAUGCUUUGUUUCUAUUGACACUUGAGGACACUGGAGAUACCUGUUCUGUUCUUGUGUUGUUUGUACAGUUUCCUGUAAAUAGCAAUAAACUGCAAAACCUUGUCAGUAGUCAGCUUACCAUGUUAGAUCAAUCCCACUAGGCUUUUUUUGGUGUCACUUCUUCAGCUAAUGGCAGUGCUGUUGUAGAACACCCAACUCGCACAGUCCCCAAGCAGUGUUGUUACCAUGGCAUAGUUUUGCAAGCCUUGAAUCUUAUCAGAGGAUGUGAUUUUCUCCAGACUUUUUUUACUUGCUGUAUAAGUGUACAAAAUGACAAGCAGAAACUGUCAUGGGAACGACACUUUAGCUAUCUGCAGUGUUUUUCAAAACACUCAUUGCAAGAAAAUGCAUGAGUGACAACAGUUUUGUUUAUAAAUAGGGACUCUCAUCAUGAGACUACUGUUGAGACUUGGUCCCAAACAAAAUGGGGUUGCAUGUAAGUGUGAAGGUUGGAGUUGCCAUAUCGCUGACCGUAACUUUACAACUUGUUCUCCAGAUCUUUACAGACAAAAGGUAAACGUGCGGGUGUAAGGCAACACAAGAGCUUAUUGUUACUUGGCUCUUUGUUUAUAAAUCAUUGCUG